AUGCGCACUAGGGAGCAAGCAUUGGUGAGGAAAUGUGAGGAGGCACAGAAGAAGCGUCAAAAGGAUUUUGAAGAAGGAACCAUGAAGCUUUGGGCAAUUGCAGUUGAAAAAAAAGAGAGGGAGGAAAAGAUAUUCAUGGAGAGGGUGGUUAAGGAGGCCCACCUCAUAAGGAAAAGGGAGGAGGAAGAGGAAGAAGAGAAGAAUAAUAAGAAGGGAAAGGGGCAUUGCUCUACGCAAUAG
rnacentral:rRNA from 1 species